rnacentral:rRNA from 1 species
AGUGAACGCUGGCGGUAGGCCUAACACAUGCAAGUCGAACGGCAGCACAGUAAGAGCUUGCUCUUACGGGUGGUGAGUGGCGGACGGGUGAGGAAUACAUCGGAAUCUACUUUUUCGUGGGGGAUAACGUAGGGAAACUUACGCUAAUACCGCAUACGACCUACGGGUGAAAGCAGGGGAUCUUCGGACCUUGCGCGAUUGAAUGAGCCGAUGUCGGAUUAGCUAGUUGGCGGGGUAAAGUCCCACCAAGGCGACGAUCCGUAGCUGGUCUGAGAGGAUGAUCAGCCACACUGGAACUGAGACACGGUCCAGACUCCUACGGGAGGCAGCAGUGGGGAAUAUUGGACAAUGGGCGCAAGCCUGAUCCAGCCAUACCGCGUGGGUGAAGAAGGCCUUCGGGUUGUAAAGCCCUUUUGUUGGGAAAGAAAAGCAGCAGGUUAAUACCCCGCUGUUCUGACGGUACCCAAAGAAUAAGCACCGGCUAACUUCGUG